UACGUAGGGUGCGAGCGUUGUCCGGAAUUACUGGGCGUAAAGAGCUCGUAGGUGGUUUGUCGCGUCGUCUGUGAAAUUCCGGGGCUUAACUUCGGUUUUGCAGUGGAUACGGGCAUGCUUGAGGUAGGUAGGGGAGACUGGAAUUCCUGGUGUAGCGGUGAAAUGCGCAGAUAUCAGGAGGAACACCGGUGGCGAAGGCGGGUCUCUGGGCCUUACCUGACGCUGAGGAGCGAAAGCAUGGGUAGCCAACAGGAUUAGAUACCCCUGUAGUCCCU
rnacentral:rRNA from 1 species